rnacentral:pre_miRNA from 1 species
UUUAUACUCUCUCCGUCCCAAAAUUAUUGUUUUGCGUUUGUUUAGAAAUGGAUGUAUCUAAAUAGUAUCACAUGACUAGAUACAUUCAUAUCUAGAUAAAACAAAGACAAGAAUUUUGGAACGGAGGGAGUAUAAA